GUCCGUUCACACAGACCGGCUCGGAGAGCAUCGGCCUGCUUUUUUCUUUUCACACAGACCGGGUCGUAUACGCUUGGAAUUGGCCGGAGCGGAGCCGCCAACUAUUUCACAUCGACCGGCUGGAAGAGAUCUGAAAGCGGGUGCGGUUGGAUCCGAGCCGAUCGGCUGCGCGAGCGAGAAAGAGCACGCAAGCGGAGCCGGUCGGCUCCUUUUAUU